UGAAGGAUAAGUGUGGACAAACUGUGUAGUAGCGGUUUGGAAAACAAACUCUUAUUAUUUUUUCUUUUUUUUAUCAGAAAAAAUUGUUUUCAAACUGAUUUAAUUAUUUGUAUAAAAUAAAAAUUUAGACAAUAUUUUAAUUGCACACAGGAGCGAAUCAGAGAAGUACUGAGAAUGUAUCCAGUACCGUUCAAUCACAAGGAAAGACUAAAUCUACUUAUUGCUGCUGUAAAAGAAAACAAGUCUUUCGAAAAACAAGCCGAAACAUAAACAAAAUUUGGGUUGCGUUUAGAGAAACAAGUCAAAACGAAGUGAAAGAUGAAGCACUUGAAGCCUUUUGGAUUCUUAUUAUUAUGACAGUGAUGUUUCUGAUUAGUUUGUGUCCUAUGUUUAUCGUGACGGCUUUUGUGCCAGUGCCUUGCGACGAAGCAGUAGGAUGGACAUUGCUAUUUACCUUUGUACAGCUGAUACACCUCAGCCAUUCAAGUCAGAACGUCAUAAUAUAUAACUACAGAUCAAAGGAGUUUCGAGAGCAUGGGAAGAAGUUGAUAAAAGAUGGGUUUUUACGUUUCAAAAAGUGCAAAUAUAAUUAGGUUUUCGUUGCUAGUUAACAUUAUUUAAAUAUUCUUUUUUUUACGCAGAUGACGUCCUAUAAUCUUCACGCCAUGUGACCUAUUUGGCCAAAGUGGGCCCAUUUUAUUAUGAAUUCUUAAAAAUACACAUGUUGAAAGUAAACUUUUUAAAAUCAUUUUGUAUGCGUUAUUUAUAACAAGAACUGUUUUAUCACUGUGGUAGUUAUUAUCAUGAAAAUGUAUGAUACAAUAGAAGACAAAAUUUUGUUGAUUUUUCAUAUUUCGUGGAAAUAUCCGGAUAGGGUAGAUUUAUGGCAGUUGUUAUAGGUUCUAGGUUGUCUAAAGUCUAGACAGAAAGGUCAAGUUAGUGAAGUUGUUAUGCUGGUAUAUCAUGGCAUGCUUUAAAUCAAUCGGCGGUUUCCUGCUCACGUUGACAGAACACGAUAUGACAGAAAAAAAUGCCAAAGUUUUGAUUCAUAAUUCGAUAAUGUAGUACAAGUUUACAAUGACAUAGGAACACAUGGUCUACUAUGCAUGAAUGUGAGAAUUAAAGUUUAGAAGUGACUUGCAUUAUUUGGGAAAAUUCUAUAUAAUCCGAUAUUUCAUGUGAUCUAAGUAUUUCUGUAUAUUUCAUGUGAUGACUCAGACAGGAUUUUGAGGUGGAAAAAUAAACGUGAUUCAAAUUAGGAUAUGUUGUGUACAUAACAAGAGUAGGCUUGUGUGUAUCACUGAAUCGUGUUUAAAAUAUCAGAUCAAUUUUAAAUGACAGAUGAAGAAAAGCUUGAUAAAAUUGUUGCAUGUGUUUGGUAAAGGGUCAAAAAAUAUUAUUAUUUAAAAACAAUAUAUUAAUGUUUUUUCAAAGCACAAAAAAUAUAGAUAGAAAGAGAAAUGAAUUGAAUGGAAAACAGAACAAAUAUCACUAGCAAUACUUACUACUAUAGACUCUGCUCACGGGAAUCGUUUAACUCAGAAAACCACACAUUUAAUGUUUACAGUGAUUGCAGUUUAGCUGGCAUCAGCGUCAUAAUAGCUGUUGUGCUCGUAAUAAUCACUAUUGCAAUACUUGGAAAUAUUCUUGUGGUAACUGUCAUAUGUUUAAACAAGUGCUACUGGAACACAUAUGGAUAUUGUAGACUGUGCAUAGCUCUGAUAGACGUAUUUGUUGGCACAGUGUAUCUACCUUUCAGAAUAUGGACUUAUAUAUCUGUUCUGUUUAUCAAUCAAGAUGGAAAUCUUGAGUCAAUAAUAAAACAACAUGAAACAAAUUACUGGGGAUUGUUGGUCGUGAUGAGUUGUAUCACAGCAACUUACAUAAUUGUGAUCCCAUCAACUCUGCUUGUUUUAACAAUUGAUCGAUUCGCUGCAAUUGUGCAUCCGUACAUGUAUAAAAAGAAUGCUCGCAAACUGUUACCAGUAGGUCUGGUUGCUACUGCUUUAAUUGGAUUAUUUGGUGGAAUUUUGUGGACUCUCAUAUUUCCAAACACAUUUAUACCAAGUGUACUAAACAGGCAAGUGUGUCUAGAUGGUAAAUUAAGACACCGUUUUACAAUGUCCAAAAUCUACGUACAAAUUGCAUUUUUUUGUCUAAAAUUGUUUUUCUUUUUGCUGAUUAUUUAAUUUUAACAUAACAAACAAAAUACCAUAAAGGCUUACAUGACAGAAUACAAAUUUAUAUAAGACCUUUAUACUUUAAUCAAAUAAAACAGUGUUUUUAUUGCUGUUUUUUUAGGUUUGGAAUAAUGCCCAUGUUUCUACUGAGCACAGGUAGUCCCAGCAUAGUAUUAGUCUACAAUUUAUUGUGGGGGUUACCUAUGAUUGCAGUAACUGUUUUCAAUAUGUACACUGCGUACUACUGUGUGUUUGUUUUGCCGAAGUCAAGGAGAAAACGAGGAAAACGAUCUCGCAACACUAGUCAAUCUUCUGUAAGAAGCUCUGUAGGAAGUCAAAACAGAAUAACAACAGCGAGCGGAACCAUAGAAGAAAAAAGCAGCUACACUAUACUUAGCUGUUGUAUUUCCAAAAAGAAAACUGACACAGACAGUACAUUUGAGAGUUCCAACAAAAGUUCAGAAGUCAAACCAGAGCGUGUCCACCACGCGCCAAUUACAACUCGUCGUAGCAGCAGUAGGUUACGAACUAUGGAACAGAAACUAAAGAAAGAAAUGUUGGAAGCAUUCUGGAUAAUUGUGGUCAUGACUGUCAUGUUUAUUGUCACUGUUUUGCCGGUAUUUGUUCUCGUGACCAUGGUACCAGUUUUAGAGGAAAGCGUGGCAGCCACCUGGCUCUACACAACUGCAC